rnacentral:ncRNA from 1 species
GCCCUGUCAUCGUCUGGACUGGCCGCCGAGCGCCCGCAGCGUAUUCGGCUGCAGCCGGGUAUCCCCGGCGAAGGCGCUCCCCGUCGAGGCAUUGGCCCCAGGCUUCUCAGAGCCCAUACGGGAACUUACUAAAC